UGUAGCUUUUACCAUUAUGCACAUGAAAAACAUAGUUUUAUUGCACUGGUAUAUACCAAAAUGCUAUAUAUUUUCUUGUCAAAAAAAUGUAAAAAAAAUGAAAGACAAAAACCCAAUGAUAUCAUCCAUAUGGUCCAAAAAAUUAUGUAGAAUUCUUUCAUGCCAAGCUAUCAAUAUUCUGUACAACUACCAUUCUUUCUAUUAGUAAAUUGAUUAAAGAAAAAGCAUUGGAAAGUUACAAUGCCAAUUUAGCCAGUGAGGAAGAAUUAACUGGCAGCUUGGAAAAUGUCUUUUGUUUCUAACUUUAAUUUUAGUUAUUGUGUUUUAAGAAACACAUUUUAUUAAUGAUUUUUUGCAGAACAUUCAAGUAGAACAAGACUUUCUGGCAUAAAUUUUGAAUGAAAAAGAAAGAAGAACUAACAUUUUAUGUUUUGUUUAAGUUGUAAUCUUUAGUGUAUAAUGCAAACCUUGUCUUGUUGUAAUGAAAUUUUCGCAUUGGUUUGAAAAUAUUAGUGAUAGUUGAUCAAUUGCAGUAUGAAGUAAGAAAAUCAUGAUCAACCCAACACAGUUUCUUUUUAGUUUGAAAACAACUGUCGUAACAGGUAUUUCAUGAUCACAGGUCCACAUAUUUGGAUAUUCUGACAGGAUUUAAGUGUUUAUGACUCCAAGUACAGCAUUUUUCCGAUUACAGUAUAUGCAAUAAAGGUAGUACUAUUCAUUGAACCUAGACAUUUGUACCAAUAUAUAUGGCUGAUGCCAUUGAGCAUCAAACCAUUCAAGGUCAUUCUUCCAGCUUGAUGCCAGCUAAUUGAAUUAAGUGUUGAUUAUAACUUCAGUUACAGGUAUUCAGUACUUCAAUGACAUCAUACUGAACAAAAAGGCAGCCAGUUCAGAACCAGACACCACGGCUCUUAAGUUAAAGAUAUUAAUUUUGAAACAGUGCUAAAACAGUGAGUGCUAAGUCAUUCUGAUUACCUACAAUUGCAAUAUUACAAUAUUUACUUUACAAAAGUAUGUUUUUGGAGGUUCCAAACUGGUUGCCGCAAUUAAUGUAGUACCUGUAAUCAACGUUUGAUUCAAGUACAGUAGAAGCCGCUAAAUCGCACUCCCCACUUGUGCAUUUAUCCGGAUGGUGCAACAAAGCAAAGUUAAGUAUUCAGCUGGACUGCACAACUACUGGACUUUGGGAUUCUGUGCAAUUAACAGAUUUAGUGUGCGGUUAUCCGUUGUGCGAUUAACUGGCUUCUACUGUACCUGGCAGUAGGAAUCAAGAGAGGGAGGUGUGAUCAUGUAUGAUAUUCUCAAUGUUGUAUUUUGGUAUCAUAGGCUCUUUAGGACUAGAAUAGAUGAUUGCAGUCAAUAACCUACCACAGUAGUAUGGACUGAAGUAUUACUGAGUGUCCUGUAGAAGAUAGCAUGUGACUUUUGUCCCUCAGGGAUUCAAUGUUUGUCCUGGUGAAUUCUUCCCAUUUUUAUGUUAGAUAAAGGACUGAUGUGUAACAAAAAUCUUAUAUGUAAUUAUAAGGCUUCAGAAGUGUUGAAAAUGUACAGGCUAAGGCUUGCAAUCAUGCAGUUCAGUGUUGAUAUCAGGCUUAAAUGUAUGUACACUGUCAGAUGGUGUUGUUUUAAGUUGCCAGACAGAUUGUAGCACAUAGGGGGCGCUAUUUGGUAUGCUGCAUGCACAAAUGUACAUAAGCUACACUGGAAUCUGUAAAGAUUCUUUCCAUUGUGAUGUGGAAAUUUUUGUUUAUUUGGGUGGGUGGAGAAUAGAUGUGGAGGUAGGGUAUGUAUAACUUCCUGUUGAUGGAGAGUGGUGUAAGUGUUGCUAGCAUUUUAACAAUUUGCCGUCUUCCGUUGGGAAAAUUGAAUGAUAUCCGGGAUUAUGUACAAUAGAGGUGCUUAGUAGCAUGUCUGGUGAGGAAAAAAUAUGAUAAAAAUGUAUUAAAAAAAUCAAUAUCUAAGUACUAAAUGUACCAAGUCAUUGUAAAGUCAUGUCGUUUAUUUGCAAAUGGUGACAAUUUCUAAGACUCUUUAUAGCUUAUACUGUGUCCCGCUCCAGUUUGUACAAGUGUGCAAUGUAAUUGCUUCAACAGUAUACUAUUAUACUGAAUAUCAGUAGAACAUGUUGUUGCUUGCUGUUGUGUGUCUUCAUGAAUGCAAUAUCCAUGAUAUAGAAGCAUGUCUCACGGUGCCUCAUAUUGUAACUGCAGUUGUAAAAAUGUUGCUUGAAAUACUGGGUUUAUUGUGCACUUUUCUGUGCCCAAAGUUAGAGCUGCACAUCUAAGUUUCUCACCAAGGGUGCAGAGAUGGACCUAGAUACUGUUUGUGUUAUUGGGUACCUUAAAUGUUGUCCACUUCUAUCCAGAAUCAUAUUUGUUCACACUUAUAAAUGUCACAAAAACUUUGUUGUAUUUUGAUUUUUGUUUAUGUUGUUUAUAUUCAUGCUUUGAGAUUUACCACAUUUUUAUACCAGACUGGUUUCACCAUUUGACAGUACAGAACGCCUACUGUAACUGUACAGUAUUAUUCAAUAUACCUUCUAUAGAUUGGCUCUGCUUUUAAAAUCAAGAUGUUGCAAAUCAAGAUGUUGCACAUUUUCCUUUGUUUGUUGCUUGACAUUAAUGAAAUGGUUGCAGGGAUAGCGAUUUUAAUAUCACCAUCUUCAAUGUCUUGUUUGCAUUAAAAAAAUGAUAAUCCCAACUAACA